CCUACGGGUGGCUGCAGUGAGGAAUAUUGGUCAAUGGACGAGAGUCUGAACCAGCCAAGUAGCGUGAAGGAUGACUGCCCUAUGGGUUGUAAACUUCUUUUAUAUGGGAAUAAAAUGUUCCACGUGUGGGAUUUUGUAUGUACCAUAUGAAUAAGGAUCGGCUAACUCCGUGCCAGCAGCCGCGGUAAUACGGAGGAUCCGAGCGUUAUCCGGAUUUAUUGGGUUUAAAGGGAGCGUAGGUGGAUUGUUAAGUCAGUUGUGAAAGUUUGCGGCUCAACCGUAAAAUUGCAGUUGAAACUGGCAGUCUUGAGUACAGUAGAGGUGGGCGGAAUGCGUGGUGUAGCGGUGAAAUGCUUAGAUAUCACGAAGAACUCCGAUUGCGAAGGCAGUUCACUGGACUGCAACUGACACUGAGGCUCGAAAGUGUGGGUAUCAAACAGGAUUAGAUACCUUUGUAGUC
rnacentral:rRNA from 1 species